CCUCGAUCCAGCGGUAGGUGUUCGGCGGGCAGAAACAAUCUGGGCGGCAAAGCAAACAAUACCAUGCAUCGAGACUACAACAUCUGAAAGAAUAUACUAUUUCUAUUAUUUGUGUCUGCACAUGUCCUCAAAAAACUAUAGCAAUAUUGCAAACGACUGGAACUAAGCUGUCUGGAUAGAGUUACAAAGAAGAGAUACAUACAGUGAACACCUUCUUUGGACGAUGGUGCAGAGUUGAGACACAUAUCACAAGCAAAACAGGAGCAAGAUGCAAAUCAAAUAGUAAGUGAAAAUUUGAUAAAGCUUGAAUUUAAAACACCAUGUAUGCUUCCAUUGUACCUUUUUUUUUCUCUAAAAGUUUUCUCUUUCCAUGUAUGCUUGUUGAUUCCUUCAUCCUUUUCAUUCUGCCUGCAUUUGUUAACUAUUGAUCCUUUCUCUAAAAGUUUUCUUUUUUGUGUGCAUAUUAAACAACUUACGUAAAUUAGAAUUCCAAAAGAAAGGAUGUUGGCAUUAACUCAAUAGUAGAUUCCUUGGUGGUCUGCUGAGGAUGUGCUAAGGAUGAAGCUGCGCACCCACAAAAAACUGCCCAGACAUCUUCCUUCAUCGAAAAAAUAUGUAAUUUGUUUUUGAAGUUUGUAUUUGAAUAGAGGCUGAAGUUUCAAAACAUGUAUCUUCUAUAUAUAAGCUUGGAACUCUGGUAGUGAAA